CGUACACUCCUGCGGGAGGCAGCAGUGGGGAAUAUUGGACAAUGGGCGCAAGCCUGAUCCAGCCAUGCCGCGUGAGUGAUGAAGGCCCUAGGGUUGUAAAGCUCUUUCACCGGUGAAGAUAAUGACGGUAACCGGAGAAGAAGCCCCGGCUAACUUCGUGCCAGCAGCCGCGGUAAUACGAAGGGGGCUAGCGUUGUUCGGAUUUACUGGGCGUAAAGCGCACGUAGGCGGACUAUUAAGUCAGGGGUGAAAUCCCGGGGCUCAACCCCGGAACUGCCUUUGAUACUGGUAGUCUUGAGUUCGAGAGAGGUGAGUGGAAUUCCGAGUGUAGAGGUUAAAUUCGUAGAUAUUCGGAGGAACACCAGUGGCGAAGGCGGCUCACUGGCUCGAUACUGACGCUGAGGUGCGAAAGCGUGGGGAGCAAACAGGAUUAGAAACCCCGGUAGUCCCAU
rnacentral:rRNA from 1 species